rnacentral:rRNA from 1 species
AUUGAACGCUGGCGGCAUGCUUUACACAUGCAAGUCGAACGGUAACAGGCCGCAAGGUGCUGACUAGUGGCGAACGGGUGAGUAAUGCAUCGGAACGUGCCCAGUCGUGGGGGAUAACUACUCGAAAGAGUAGCUAAUACCGCAUACGAUCUAUGGAUGAAAGCGGGGGACCGUAAGGCCUCGCGCGAUUGGAGCUGCCGAUGUCAGAUUAGGUAGUUGGUGGGGUAAAGGCUCACCAAGCCAACGAUCUGUAGCUGGUCUGAGAGGACAACCAGCCACACUGGGACUGAGACACGGCCCAGACUCCUACGGGAGGCAGCAGUGGGGAAUUUUGGACAAUGGGCGCAAGCCUGAUCCAGCAAUGCCGCGUGCAGGAAGAAGGCCUUCGGGUUGUAAACUGCUUUUGUACGGAACGAAACGGCUCUGGUUAAUACCCGGCGCUAAUGACGGUACCGUAAGAAUAAGCACCGGCUAACUACGUG